GACGGCGGCGCUCGGCAAGGAGCCCCCCGAGCCGUUUUUGGAGGAGCGCAGGCAGUCCUUGAAGUUCUUCAGAGCGAUUUGCCUCUGCAGCCGCAGCACUUCUUUCUGGGAUUCCCGCAGCAGCCGGUCGAACUCCACCACGUUCAGGCAGCGAGGGUCACCCUGCGGGGAACGGUAGCACGGCGUGCGGCUGCAGCAGGUUAAGGGUGGGUGCAAAGCACGAAGUGCUGCCAACAGAUGCCAGCACACUCCGUUCCCUAACAGAGCACACAAAAGCUUCUCUUUCCUGGGCCCCCAACUCCUCCAAAGCAGUCAUUUCGCAUCCUAAGUGUCAAUACGUAAUUUCUCUCACAGAUGAAAACUAGCCUGCGAUGCUUUACGGUUAUCCCAGUGUAAAGCUAUGGUAAAAAGGGCUUUUCUAAGCGCGUGCUUUCUAAGUGUUUGCCAGCAGAGAGCGUGUCAGGAUAAUACAAUUUCAUUUAUUCGUUCCACAGCAAAACAAGAGCCCCAGCCGGGUUCCUCUCCUUGCUGUGUGUGCUGGUAUUCUCUGCAGCCCUGUGCGUGCCUGGCGAUUAGGGCUUUAAUGUUGGAAAGAAUGAAGCGUAUCUGAGACGUGUUUUCUUCUGACUCAGGGUGUUUGGCUUUUUAAAGUGCUACUGAUUUCUGACCACAGAGUGCUUGUGUGGAUAGGCUUCUAUCCUCAGCACAAGUAGCUGUCCUGUCCACUCUGGACGCAAAGCCAGCAGCUUUUAAAGGAAGCCAGUGCAAUUUUAGUCUUGCUAAAACAGUGAGAAUACGCCACCAGUUUGUGUUAAUUCCUCAAAGGUUUUCAGAUUUCAGAAAGCUGAAAAAGACACGUACCUGCAUGUCCAUACAGACAUACAAAAGCUGGUUAUGAAAACCUGCCCUCACAAAUAUGCUGCUGAAGGAGACAUUGCUCAUUCCCCUGGAAAGCUCCUAAGCCAGUGAAUGCAUAAUUGGUAUCCAGGACAAAUUUAAUCUGCUUCCCCGUUCACUUCUUAUUCACCCUAAAAAUAGCAUGUGCUUUGCAAAUACAGUUUGUAGAAAAGCACAGUUACUCUCAAACAACAAGGGGGAAACCGAGGCACCAUUAAUGGGAACUGAUUACAGAUUCAAGAAGUGAGCAGCCGCGCACUCUGUGCAAGACCCACACUGAGGCUAUCAGGGUUAGUUCUUCAAACAAAAUUGGCGGGGACUGCCUAAAAAGCUCCCUUCCCCCACCAGAAAAUAGAAGCAGCUAUUUCCAUAGAGAGCCUCCAAAGCCGGGGGGAAAUAAGAGAGCAGAAAAGCGCUCAGUCUUCCACUCACAGCUCCUAUUAUUCGUGUCCUCUGCAGCUGCCUUGCCGUUCCCUGCAGCCUCCAGGAAUCCCCACUGCAAGAAACGGCAGCCUGGUGGAACCUGGACGGGGCCUUUGUUGCAAACCUGUCACUGCAGCAUGAUCUCAGGCAAACAUCUUACCCUGAGAGCUCUGACUUGGCAAAACAAGGCCCGCUCUUGCAGCCUGGUGCGCGUGUCGUCCUACCACUGAAAAUGAACAGAGUACAUCUGUUUCAUAGCUACUGAAAGAUUUGUGCUGAAUCAAGUGCGCUAGAUUAAAAAUGAUUUGGCUACAAACUCUGAGCAUGCACAUAAUAUCUCUGCUCAUAAACCCCCUCAUUGGCAUAAUGCAUUUUGCAUGCUGCAGACAGAUUAGGGGAAUUUUGAAUUUUAACUAGCUGAGAAUUAAAAUUUAAUGAGCAGCUUGCUUGGAAGAUAAAUGGGGAAGAAAAAAAAAAAAAACAACAACCCACAGGAUCAGAAAUAAUAAUUUCCUCUCUGACAAUUUUUCUCUGCAGAUUCCCAGCUCAUGUACUGAUGGCCCUUCACUGCUGUUGCCUUGGCAGGUUACACAGAUGGUCUCACCUUCCCAGCCAGGGUGGUUGCCCAUGCCUUAGCAGCAAAGCAGCAACUGAAGUCUCAGCAGCUAUGAGGACUGCACCCAUACGUAUUUCCUUGGCCAGUAAUGAAUCUUGCUCUCCUGCCUUUGUCACAUUCUUCUACAGUUUGUCAGCUUCCUAUCCCUGGGAGAUUCAGCUUGCUCAGCACACUCUGCUGUGAAAAUCAGAGGGCUUGUUCCCCCUUCUGUGGGAGUCUGCAGUGAGCAGCCAUGGGCACAGGAAGGAAAUUUGUUCUUGGUGCUUCACCUUCUCCUCCGUCUCUGGGAAGCAGCUCCUGCGCUGGAUAACAGAAGGAGAGGGCCAAGGCACAGCCAAGAAGUCACAGAGCCAAGUGCUGAUCAGGCUGCAUAGCCCAUUGCUCUGGUCCCAGGUUCUGCAGCACCACUGAUCCCAUCCCUGCUGCUUUACAGGCACAGCAUGUGUCCCAGAGAAAAUUUCCAUCUCCAGAAACAGCAGAGCCCUUCCUGGCACCCAGGAAGGGGACACUGUGCGUCCAACAGGGGCAUGGAGCAGGGCAGGGGCACAGAGGGGUCCUGUCAGUGUUUUCCAGGCAAGCUCAGCAGAGCUGUGGGCUGGUUCAGCAUGCCAUCCCUAAAGCUAGGAAGGCAGCCCUUGGGAUGAAGUCAGAGUGCAUUAUUUCCACCUCUUUACAGCUGCCAAGAAGAUUCAAGCUUUUCAUCUUUGCUUUCCGGCGCCCAGCAAGGCCAGGCAUGCUCAGCCUGGGGCAGGAUCUGGGCGGCUGUGGAGCAGCCAGAGUGCCGUGUCCUGUCCCCAGCAGCAGCCAGGCUUGUGGCACGUCAGCACAGUGCUUCUGCAGGGACAACUGGUACUUCCAGAGACUCUAGAAGGGAUUCUGCUGGGAACCAACCCCCUUAUGGGCCCAUUUCAGUCUUUGAAACCUCUUUUCUGUAGCUAAAAACAGCUAAAACCCAGGAGCCUGCACUGAGCUCCUGAGUGCUGCCCUGAGCCCUGCCCCAGGCUGGGUCAGCCUGCAGCUUGGCUGUCCCCAGCUCCUAGGACCCUCUAUAGCCUCAGGGCCUCACCAAGAGAGGCACAAGGGGCGGCAGCAGCAAUGUGGUAUCAGGGGACCUUCCCUGUGGCCCUGCAGCUCCUGAGGAAGCUUUGUCACCUCCUCCUGGCACAAGAUCGGGGCUGGGCUGGCUGCCUGGGCUGAGUCUUCCUCGCACACCACAUGGCCAGCACCGACCGCCUGUCUAGACGUCAUCCCACACUCAUUAAACAUUCAUUUCCCAUAAUGAAAUGGCUUUUCAUUUAUUAACUGCUCCUCCGUUCCUCAUUGCUCCCACGCUCCAUGAUGCAGCCUUACUGCAGAUUGUUCUUGCAGCCCCCCUAAAUGCUGUGUUCAGAAGGGAGCUGAGGAAAUCUUUGAAAGAAGAGGCCCCCACACAUGGCUUGUCUUCAUAAAGAUGCAGAGAAGUGCCAGCAGGAGCCAUGAGCCAAAAUCCAAAGCACCCCAUGGUCAGGGAGGUAAAGCUGGUGGGAGCUGAGGCAGAGCUGUACCAGAGGGCACAGGGAGCCCUCGUGUCCCUGCAUCUGGAGCUGCCUUGGCCACCAAAACAGUUAAGCCCAGGGACACCUUUGGCCACAGGGGACAUUUGCUAAAGGCAGAGCAAAGCAGGAAAAUAACAGCAGGGAGGCUGGUGGGGGAGAGCGGAGCGCAGCUCCUGUUUGCAGCUGGCACACAGCUUUGAAGUGUCUCGUUUCAGGGAAAACAUGAUCAUCUGUCACCUCCCCUGGCAGGUAGAGCCAAAAAUACAGCUUCUUUGCAAUGCAUCAAGAGUGAACAAACACAGGCCUCAGCAGGACAGCAACAGCAAGAGAAGCUGUUUCUUCUUCACCUGAAAACUUCAAAAAGCAACUGAGAGCUGCAGCAGCUUUUGCAGGGAGAAGUGCCCAGCCAGGCUGCUAAAUGGGUCACAAAGCCAAAAUCCCCCAAGAACCACCCAGCAUCCAGCGCAGGCUUUGAAGUCCUGCAGAACAUUUGCAGGAAGCCAUUUGAGGGGCAGUAAAUCACGCCGCGGCGGGGCUGGCAGCACUGCUCCGCAAUGCGGCUCGGGCACACUGUGCUGCCGAUGCCUUGUGGCUCAGCCUGGCACCAAUCAGCCCGGGGACUUUCCUACACCUGCUGCAGGGACUGAGCCAAAGACAAAGCCCUGGCCUGAUUGAAAAUCCCAGCAAAUGUGGAGGAGGAGUUAAGCAGGUGGCUCCUUGAGUGGCACAUCUCAGACGGCUUCUGGCAUUCUCUUGGCUGAUUUUAAAACAUAUACAAUCUGAAGAUGUUUCUACAGGGACUUCUCUGCCUGCAGCAAACAGGGCUCCAGCUGCCAGGUUUGCUUCCCAAAGGCUGUCUCUGAAAUCCAACCCUCACCGCUGCAGACACCGCUCCCAAAGUGAAACUACACUGCUGCUUUCCUACUCUCUCAGAUGUAUUAAAUCCACCACCUCUGCCUCUGAAAUUGUCACCUGUCACACAGUAAAUACCGAGCCUCAACUGUGCCAAAGCCCUUUAGCUGUUCAUUCCAGCUGACUUUGGUAAUUAGUUUCCUUAACUUCUCAGUCCUCGCCACUUGGAAGUAAAACCUGUCACUGCUCAUCCAUUUUCUCCUCUUCCAUCCAAUCUCAGUGAAAUCAGUUCAUAGGAGAAGCUAUUUUCUGUAGGCUGCUUUCUGCAGUGCCCUCACUGCACAUCAAAAGGAAGACGAAAAUAGCAUCACCUCCUGCUGGGUCAGUGAGCAGCAGCAGCAAAACCCAUUGGUGCUGGCACAGCGAGUGCACCUCGUGCUGGAGAGCACGUUAUCCAACCAGAGGUAAAAAGGCUGUUUUGGUUAAAGGUAGGGGAGAAGUAGGAGAGGAGCUGGGGAUGCAGUCGUGCUCACCCUGCCACCCCCCUGACAGGCAGCCUGCGUCCCACAGCUUCCUUCAUUUUGCACCACGUUCCCACUUUCAGACACAAACAUCUCUGCGCUCUGACUUCAUGAGGCUCCCCUCCCAUUCCUUGCCCUGUGUGCUGCCUUGUUUCCAUGAUUCAGCAUUUUCUCCCACUGCCAGUCCCUCUUCCAAGCAUGACCUUAUACACUGUGAUUUCCUCAUUUAUCUGAUUUUUAUCGCCACUUGUAACAAAUUCAUGGAAGAAAAAAUCCAUCCGAGGCUAUUUACUUCAAAGAUACUGCCUCCAGCACAGGGAGUGUUGGAGCCACACACCGCAAGAUAUGAGGAGAAUAUUCAGGGAAACAUUCACAUUCUAUUUGCUCUUCCUUACAGCCUCGCACAGGCAUUGCUCCUGCAUGCCCUGUCACCACCACCAGCUCUUCCUGUGUUCCUCACAGUGUAUUUAAAGCGAGACAUGCGGUUAAAAUUGGAA